rnacentral:rRNA from 1 species
ACGCACGCUGGCGGCGUGCUUAACCCAUGCAAGUCGAACGGUGAAGGGGCCUGCUUUUGUGGGCCCUGGAUGAGUGGCGAACGGGUGAGUAACACGUGAGUAACCUGCCCCCUUCUUCUGGAUAACCGCAUGAAAGUGUGGCUAAUACGGGAUAUUCUGGGUCUGUCGCAUGAUGGGUCUGGGAAAGAUUGCGCCUUUGGGUGUUUUUGGUGGGGGAUGGGCUCGCGGCCUAUCAGCUUGUUGGUGGGGUGAUGGCCUACCAAGGCGGUGACGGGUAGCCGGCCUGAGAGGGUGGACGGUCACACUGGGACUGAGACACGGCCCAGACUCCUACGGGAGGCAGCAGUGGGGAAUAUUGCACAAUGGGCGCAAGCCUGAUGCAGCGACGCCGCGUGAGGGAUGGAGGCCUUCGGGUUGUAAACCUCUUUCGCCAGUGAAGCAGGCCUGCUCCUUGUGGGUGGGUUGACGGUAGCUGGAUAUGAAGCGCCGGCUAACUACGUG